rnacentral:rRNA from 1 species
CUCAAGAUUAAGCCAUGCAUGUCUAAGCAUACUGAAUUAUAGUGAAACCGCGAAUAGCUCAUUACAAUAGCUGUUGUUUCUUGGAUCUCCAAUUUACUUGGAUAACUGUGGUAAUUCUAGAGCUAAUACAUGCGACUAAGCGCCGAUCUCACGGCGGGAUGCGUGCAUUUAUUAGAACAAAACCUUCCGUCUUCGGACGUGUUUUGGUGACUCUGAAUAACUCAGUGAAUCACAUGGUCUAGCACCGGUGAUGUAUCUUUCAAGUGUCUGCCUUAUCAACUUUCGACGGUAGUUUAUGUGCCUACCGUGGUUGUAACGGGUGACGGAGAAUCAGGGUUUGACUCCGGAGAGGGAGCCUGAGAAACGGCUACCACUUCUAAGGAAGGCAGCAGGCGCGCAAAUUACCCAUUCUCGGCAUGAGGAGGUAGUGACGAGAAAUAGCAAGACGAUGCCCAUUGGGUGUCGUCAUUGCAAUGAGAACAAUCUAAAUCUUUUAACGAGGAUCUAGUCGAGGGCAAGUCUGGUGCCAGCAGCCGCGGUAAUUCCAGCUCGGCGGGUUUAUACCAAUGCUGUUGCGGUUAAAAAGCUCGUAGUUGGAUCUGCGCCCUUAGCCCGCGGUGUGGCCUUAACGUCACUACUGGAUCGACUGCGACGCAAUCGAGGCCGCUCGACGGUGCGAUGCUCUUCAUCGGGUGUUGUACAGUUGGCGGCAAGUUUACUUUGAACAAAUUAGAGUGCUCAAUACGGGCGUUAUGCUUGUAUACAUCUGCAUGGAAUAAUAGAAUAGGACCUCGGUUCUAUUUUGUUGGUUUUCGGAACCAAGGUAAUGAUUAAGAGGGACAGACGGGGGCAUUUGUACUGUGGCGGGAGAGGUGAAAUUCUUGGAUCGCCGCAAGACAAACUACUGCGAAAGCAUUUGCCAAGAAUGUUUUCAUUAAUCAAGAACGAAAGUAACGGGUUCGAAGGCGAUCAGAUACCGCCCUAGUCGUUACCGUAAACGAUUGUAGUUGGGGGCCAGCAGGUGUUUUCAUUGACCCUGUUGGACCCCGCCCGGAAACGGAUAAACUACGUUAUCCUGGGGGAGUACGAUCGCAAAGCCGAAACUUAAAGGAAUUGACGGAAGGGCACCACCAGGGGUGGAGCCUGCGGCUUAAUUUGACUCAACACGGGGAAACUCACCCGGCCCGGACACUAGUAGGAUCGACAGGUUGAGAGCUCUUUCUUGAUUCGGUGGGUGGUGGUGCAUGGCCGUUCUUAGUUGGUGGAGUGAUUUGUCUGGUUAAUUCCGAUAACGAACGAGACUCUGGCCUACUAACUAGCACCCGGUUUGCUUGUGACCGCGGUACUUCUUAGAGGGACAAACGGUUUUCAGCCGUAUGGCCGUAUGAAAAAGAGCAAUAACAGGUCUGUGAUGCCCUUAGAUGUCCGGGGCUGCACGCGCGCUACACUGAAGGAAUCAGCGUGUGGGAUCACCUGGCCCGAAAGGGCUGGGUAAUCCGGUGAAAAUCCUUCGUGAUUGGGAUCGGGACUUGCAAUUAUUUCCCUUGAACGAGGAAUCCCUAGUAAGUGCAGGUCAUCAGCUUGCGCUGAUUACGUCCCUGCCCUUUGUACACACCGCCCGUCGCUGCCCGGAACUGAGCCAUUUCGAGAAAAGCGGGGACCGAUAGCUUGAGGCAAAAGCCUUCACGGGCUUCUUGUUGACGGAAACCGCCUUAAUCGCAGUGGUUUGAACCGGGCAAAAGUCGUAACAAGGUAGC